UCCAGAUUUUCAGACAGAAUACAUCUGCUGGGCAUCACAAAGCAUCCACAUUGAACCAGAAGAAUUGGCCCAUAAUGCACAAAUAAUGGAACUAACAUUUUGUGGAAAAAAGUGCCCAAACAGCAUCUCAUGCUUCAAAGAACUGUCCUUAAACAGAUCAGUUAAAGAGAAUUCAUCUAGAAGCUCAAGAAACUAUAAUUAAUAGAUGCAUAGAUUUCAAUGUCAGAAGGGAUCACUAUGAACUUGUAUGACCUCCUGCAAAACAGAAGCGCAAAAUGUCACCCAGUAAUUCCUCCAUGAAGCCCAAUAACUUGUGGCUGAACAACAUACCUUCUAGAAAGAUAUCCAGACUUAACUUCAAGCGAUGGAUGAGAAAAUGUCUGAUUUUCCAGCAUACUAAAUGUUUGGACUGACUCACAAGAAGCAUAGUACCAACUAAUUAGCCACACAAUGUAUCUUUGCAACAUAUUCUAGCAGAAGCCAAAACCAGGACUGAAAUAUUGUAAUGAGGAUGAUCAUCAGACUAUUUCCAACUCUGAAUAAAUAGUUCAGUCUAGUGAUGGGCUACCAUCUAAUGGCUUGAGGUUUGAGGCAGAUGCUGAGAAAUCGGGCGAGGAAGCUACGGCAGCACGGUGAAGACAUGAAGUUUGAGAGUGGCACAGACCUCUCACAAAGCACGG